rnacentral:lncRNA from 1 species
AAAAUCCAUCACGUAAACACGCCUGUGAAAGUCAAAGCAGCACAGUAGCUCACUGGAAAGGUGAAAGUUUCUCAUCAUCACACCCAUAGAGAUAAUGGGGGCGGGGUGGGGGCAAUCGCACGUGUGUGCUCUGUGCACUCACAGCCGCCCCUCCUCUGCUCUCUGGCUCCCGAUGUGCGUAGUGAGAGGCAGACACCAGGCUAGAAUCAGGAGGCCAGCGCCCUGUCCCAGUGAGUUUGGGUCUUGAGACAGUGAGUAGCAAGAGUGCAGAGAGGAAGGGAUUUAUCGACAAAGUUAUCUGACUUUGAUUCUCGAGCUCAAUAGGGAGAGUUUGAAUAACAAGGGACACUGAUACUAACACAUGUGUUAAACAGAGAAACUGCUUCUCAUAUUUGAUAGGCAAUAAAUGUCGCAUUUAUUUAUACUUCUAAGCAAAGUCUCAUUCUCACUUGCUCAUUUUCGGAGAGUGAGAAAGCCCAAGAUCUCAUGGCCCUUCCCCUUCCUCGGGUUAUGGACACCAGGGCCCUGGGGACUGCAGAGCUGGGGAGGUCUCCUGGGAGUCACAGGGGGCCAUGGAGGAGAGCGGAGGAGAGAAUGCUGUUCUUGGGUGUGAUCAGGUGGCUGUCAGAUCCCCGCUCCUACAUUCGGUAGGGAGUGACCUUCGGAAAAUUAUGUAACCUCUCUAAGUCUCGGUUUUCUCAUCUGAAAAAUGGAGCUGAUGGUAAUAAACCUCAUCCAGGAGAACAGUAUUUGUUGAUCAUCCUCAUGGCAUUCUUUUUAAGAGCUUCACAGCACUCCAUUAUAUGGGCAUUAAAUCGUUAAUUUAUUGUGUAUAAUCUCAGCUCACUGCAACUUCCACCUCCUGGGUUCAAGUGACUCACCUGCCUCAGCCCCCCGAGUAGCUGGGAUUACAGACAUGCGCCACCACGCCCGGCUAAUUUUUGUAUUUUUAGUAGAGAUGGGGCUUCACCAUGCUGGCCAGGCUGGUCUUGAACUCCUGACCUCAGGUGAUCCACCCACCUCAGUCUCCCAAAGUGCUGGGAUCACAGGCCUGAGCCAUCACUCCGGGCUCAUAGACCUAAAUGUAAAACACAUUUGUUGAAUGCCACGAAACCAGCAGCUUUGCUGUCACCACCAGAGGGCCUCACAUGAUUUGGAGAAUUUUCAAACAGGGAUAUUGAUGCAAACAAAC